AGACCCGAAACCCGGUGAUCUAGCCAUGGGCAGGUUGAAGGUUGGGUAACACUAACUGGAGGACCGAACCGACUAAUGUUGAAAAAUUAGCGGAUGACUUGUGGCUGGGGGUGAAAGGCCAAUCAAACCGGGAGAUAGCUGGUUCUCCCCGAAAGCUAUUUAGGUAGCGCCUCGUGAAUUCAUCUCCGGGGGUAGAGCACUGUUUCGGCAAGGGGGUCAUCCCGACUUACCAACCCGAUGCAAACUGCGAAUACCGGAGAAUGUUAUCACGGGAGACACACGGCGGGUGCUAACGUCCGUCGUGAAGAGGGAAACAACCCAGACCGCCAGCUAAGGUCCCAAAGUCAUGGUUAAGUGGGAAACGAUGUGGGAAGGCCCAGACAGCCAGGAUGUUGGCUUAGAAGCAGCCAUCAUUUAAAGAAAGCGUAAUAGCUCACUGGUCGAGUCGGCCUGCGCGGAAGAUGUAACGGGGCUAAACAAUGCACCGAAGCUGCGGCAGCGACACUGUGUGUUGUUGGGUAGGGGAGCGUUC
rnacentral:rRNA from 1 species